AGGAGGAGGAAAGAGAAAAGAAAGAAGAGUCGAAUUAGGAUGAAGAUAUGCAGCAUUAACCCGACAAACCUGUCCACACAGAGUCUCACUUGCGCUACUGUUGAUUCUAACUAAAGAAGCUGUUAGUGGACAAAGACUGAACUUCUCACAGGAAACUGGAGACGGCUGUAAGAGUUUGGUAGGAAAAGGGCCAAAGUUGGGCUUUCUGGUGGCCUGCUUCUCAGCCUGGGACUCAGGAGUUCAACAGGAUUUCAGAGACGGAGACAGAGAUUUGAUCCCAUUCAGCUACAAAAGCUCUGGUGAAGAAUGAGCACUGAUAUCGGGGCGUUAACCAAAGCUCCAGCUUCAGCACAUCUCUGAAUGGCCAGAUGUUUUCACAUGUGGAGGUGAAAACCUGUCUCUGCAUGAAAUAACCACUGAGGAUUAUCUAGAGGACGGUUUUAAAACCAGGGAACUCCAUCCUCAGAACUGGAAGGGAAUAGAGCUGUGAAGAUGGUCGUCGAUAUGGACGAGCCAUGCAUCAGGGGCCCCAGCAAAGUCAAGCCGACCAAUUAGCGAAGAGAGAGCGGCCGACACUGUGCAUCGCCUCAUGAUGAGGAAGGGUCUACAGCUGAUCGUCAUGCAAUCUGAACCUGCAUGAGAGGAACCGCGUUGCAUUGUGGGAAGAAACAAUCUGCAUCUUUCCCCCUUAAAGAAGAGAAGAAGCAGAAACAUCAGCAUGAUUAUAGGUUAUCAGGGUAAUGCAUUAAAGAUAAGGAGAAAUGAGACAAAAUCUGCAAACACGAUUGAUGCUCUGUGCUCAGAAGGAGUUGCACCGCGACUUAUUGAUUAAAACUGUUUGAGUUCCUUAUUGAGAGCUGAGUAGAGACGGUGGAGCCAGACGACUGUCAGCCAACACAAGUCGGUCAUUUAGCCGAGCCAGAUCUCCUCCUCUGUCAGUUUACUUCACAGUGUUCGAUUAUGUACAGCUCAGCCCAAUACACACAAGGGCGCUCAUUUAGGACGACAGGGUGGCCAUUUGUUGUCAUGGCACCGAAACUGUGGAAGUAAGACUUUUACCUCAGUUUUAUGGUUUUAUGUCACCUGGAAGAUGCAUUGUUUCAUCUAAUCUACCCGCAUUUCCCUGUAUAAACCUCCCACUGUAACGUGCUCUGUUAAAGCAAAACUAUGUCAAGUAAAGCGCUAAAAAUAUACUGAACUAAACUCCUCCAAGGCCCAACAGUCUCUUUAUGAAGCCAUAUUUCAGUCGACUAGAUCCAGAUUUUUAUUUGGCACAUACUCAGUAACUAAAUUAGUGAAAAUGUCAAAAAAACUUCCCGAAAGUCCUUUGUCACACAGCUUUGUCCAGAUCCACGACUCAUCGGAAUGGGUUCUUUCUUGGCCCUUGUCCCAUCCUUACGCCAAGUUUUGCGUAAAAUCCAUUUGCGUAAUCCUGAUGACGAACACACAAAUAAAAACAGACAGGGCUGAAAGCAUAAGCUCAAGUCCUAUAAUAAGUUUUAUUUCUCAUAUGUAAGUUAACACAAGGUCAACAGUAGAAUGGACAAGAAGAACAUAUUCAUAUACAGUACAUACAUAUGCACGUAUUAACAUAUAUGUAUAUACACCUACUAGCAGCCUUCUUGCUCUGAAUACUACUAGACUACAACUGAUUUUAAUUUGCCUCAGCACAUCUGUCACUCAACACGAACUCCCGUUUAUUUCUUGCACAUCACAGUUACACUGACUUUACGAGGAAUCCGGGUCAAACCGUGGGUGACGAGACGAGAACAAUCGGCCGCGUGUCUUCCCAUCACUGUGGAUCGUUUGCUGGAACUGACCCUGAUAACACUUACAGUAAGCGCUAACUGUGUUGAGUAACAGGUAGUUAGUUACAGAUGGGUAACAAAUAUGUCCGAGAUUCUCUCUCUCUCUCUCUCUCCCAGAGUCUGGUCACCGGUUUGGUGUUUCUGACGUUGCUGUUGCUGUCGAACACUCGUCUCCUGCGCAGGUGUUCAGUUGGGUUGAGAUGUGGAGACCGUGCAGGGACUUAGGGACGAGUGGAUGAGGCCUUGUUGUGUUGAGGUGGUCAAGGUCAACACUGUUUCCUGAAGAGCCUCCAUCCAAAUAUUUCAAUACGGGAGACAAGCAAGGCCCCAUCUCAAUACUACUUAUUUCUUAUCUUUGCACUCGUUUAUUAAAGUUUAUAAACUAGUUGUUAGGUGGUGGAGAUUAACUAUGUUCUGAACACACACAAUUUUAAGGAAAGGAAAGGAAAGUUUGCAAUGUGUGUAUGUG